rnacentral:lncRNA from 1 species
AAUUCAUUUUACUACAUUAUAAUUUUUUUAAUAAUUAAAAAUUAAUUUCAAUUAUUAUUAAAAAAUUCCCUCUCUUUAUAAAUAUUUUUUACAUUUAAAUAUAACAUUAAAAAAUAAUAUUUUAUAUUACUUUAAUAACUAGGGACAUUUUGGUAAUCUUUAAUUUUUACCAAUUAAACUAAUUUUUUAAAUCUGUCACAUCAAUCAAAUCCUACACUAAUUCUCACAAACUUUAUCCUCAAAUCCACUCUCAAUUACCCACAAAUCCACUCAAAAAAACAACAAAAAAAUUACCCUCAAAUCCACUCAAAUUCAUUCAAAUCAUCUCCCCCAGAUCAUCUCCCUCAAAUCUAUCCAAAGGAACAAAGCAUUAGUGACUAGAUGUCUCACUCAAUGAGUCAAGCAUCGAAACAAAAUACAAAAUGUUCAGUGAGAGCAGAUUCACCUAUGACCCCUCCUUCCCUAACUAUCUUCCAAAUUCAACUUUUCCUUUUGCUCAGCGAGAGUCUACUCACCCAACGAGCAUACCUUCCCUGAAUCUUUGCAAAACUCAAAUUCAACACUCCUCCAAUAAGCUGUAUAAUGAAGACACAUAAAUAUGCAUAACUAGUAACACCCUUAACUCAAAUAGAAGUUUUCCUUCUCUACAAAAGUCAUAAACAAAAUCAAU